rnacentral:lncRNA from 1 species
UAUGCAGACAUUAAAGCAAUGCAAGGAAUCCCCCAGGAACACAGAAUUCACUUUGUAAACAGUUGACCUAUGGCCAAAUUUCAUUUCUCUCUCUUUUUUUUAGGGCCACCCCCACAGCAUAUGGAAGUUCCCAGGUUAGAGGUGCAAUAGGAGCUUCAGCUACUGACCCACACCACAGCCACAGCAACACUGGAUCUGAGCCACAUCUGUGACCUACACCACAGCUUACAGCAACACAGGAUUCUUAACCCACUGAUCAAGGCCGGGGAUCGAACCCACUUCCUUGUGGAUACUUGUCGGGUUCAAUACCACUGAGCCGCGUUUUGUCAUUAAACGCGACUAUUCCCCAAGUUUUGUCUUUUAAACGCAACUAUUCUACAAGUAAAAUUCUGAGACAGUUGUAUCACUGCAGCCCAGGUGUGUCAUCUUAUUGAAAAGAAAACCCAGACUCUGUUUGGAAGCACAAUAUCUAACCUGUAAAAGUUGUCCAAAACACACAAUAAUGGUGGGGGAAAUGCAGGCAUUAUGUUGUCAAAUCAAUCACUAAAAUAUAAAGAAGACAGGAUGUUCUAGAUAUUAGAAAUCUGAGAAAUACAUAUUUUAAAGCACCUCUGUGAACUGUAUAAAAGGCCUUAAAUAAGCAGGGUAUUUAAAAAAAAAAGGCAUUGGUUCUAUUUAAUAACAUAAUCUUCUGGAUUUCCAUCCAUAUUUUUAAAAAAACUCAUGUCACUUCACAUGUAUCACUGUGUACAGGAGUUUAGUCAGCAAAGCCCCCAGGCAACAUUCCAGGACAGGUAAGUUCAGCCUUUAGCUGGGUAAGGAUCCCUGGCAGGGAGAAAGUCUCACCUAAAGGCACUGCCUCCCUGGGCAAGGGGGAAGCUGCUUUGUGGCAAGUGACUCAGCCUCUGGGCGGUCUUUGCGGCUGGUGUGCAAGCUGCCACCGGGCUCAGAUUCUCCUGAAUUCUAUGUGAUUUCUGGAAGAUGCUCCCCUAUUCCAGCCCCCCACCCCCAACAUCCCUAAGAAUCACAUACCUGCCACCUGAAAUAGAAUGAUUCUAGCCCUGCUUCUGCUUUGCUGCUUGUACCGCUUGAGUUUCUCCUCCAGACAUGAAAUGCAUCAGCCAAGAGUUUUAAGUCAUGGAAUCAAAGGAAGAGAUGGCCAGGAAAUGCACUAUGAAGCACUGUCACAGGGCCACUCACCCCUCAGGAUAACCUCCCCUAACUUGUUUCCUGCCCAACCUACAGCACCAUUUCUGGAACUCAGCUGCUGACUGAUAAUUAGGUCUAAUAGAGAGCAAGGAUUUCCUGACGGGAUGCAGACAGCACUGCAUUUGCUGGCAGCUGUGCCUCGGCUGAUUGUUGGAAACCUGGCUUUUAACCCUGUGCUGGCUCUCCAUCACGCCCAACUCUGGCAACCUAGUGAGGCCAGCUCAGCCAUGCUGAAAGCAGCUCUCAGGGAAUGAAGAGGGAGGAAAUGGAGGAAGAAGAAUACAUCGCAUUCAAUAUUAAUUUGCCAGUCCAUGCAGAAAAAAAAAAAGAUCAGAGGUCUUGCCUUAGCCUGCCUUCCCUUCUGGAGAAUCAAUAGCACAGACAUUCUGAAAACACAGAAGAAAAGAAUAUAGGCUGUAAGAUCUAAAAGGAAUUUAUAUAUGGCUACAUUAUGUUAUUGAAGACACACACUUCCUAGGCACAAUUACCUUCGAGGGAAAAGGAAUGCGAAUUACCACGCGACCCAGCAAUUCCACUUCUAUGUUCUCUCCCUAAAGAAUUGAAAGCCGGGACUCGAACAAAUACUUGGAACUCUGAGGUUCAUAGUAGCCUCGUUCACGAUAAUCAAAAGAUGGAAGCAACCCAAGCAUCCUUGAUGAAUGACUAGAUCAGCAAAAUGUGGUCUAUCCAUAGUGUGGAAUAUUAUUCAGCCUUAAAAAGGAAGGAAAUUCUAACACCUGCUACAACAUGAAUGAACCUUGAAGGUGUUAUGCUAAAUGAAAGAAGCCAGGCACAAAGUGAAAUAUGUGAUUCCACUUAUAUGAGACAGAGUAAUUAAGUGCAUAGGUAGAAAGUAGAAUGAUGGUUUUCAGAACCUGGAGGGGGGAAUAAUGAGUCAUUGUUUAACAGGGACAGAGUAUUAGUUUGAGAGGGGAUGAAAAAGUUCGGGCAAUGGAUGGUGAUGAUGGUUGCACAAUGAAUGUGAAUAUACUUAAUGCCACAGAACUAUACACUUAAUAUGGUUAUAGUGGCAAAUGUUAGACUUUAUAUAUUUUAACACACACAGGGACUAGGAGACAGAACAAUUCACUGUAAUCCAGAGGGAGGAGUAUGAGGAAGACUUCUCGGAGGAGGUGGUUUUGUCUUGAAAAAUGAGAAGAGGUUUGGUAGGCGGGACAGAAGGAAAGGGUAUUCUGGGCUGAGGGAGUAACUUUGGAAAGUAGGAAGGCGAUUACAAGGUAAUAUUCAAGAACCACAGAUUAUCUGGGGGACUGGGUACUUGCAGGUAAGUUACAAGAGUUGAAGCUCCAAUGACAGGGUGAGGGGGGAUCUGGAAGCCUCCUACAUGCCAGGCGAGAUGUUUGGGGUUUUUUUUCUGCAGGCAGUGGGAAGCCACUGGAGUCCUUUAAGUUUGGGGAUGUGACCAAGCUUGCAUUUUGAAAAGAUAAGGUUCGGAAGUUGUGUGAGGGAUGGAUUGGAGGGGAGAGAGACUAGAGGCAGGGAGCCUGGUGGGGAGACUCUGGAAGUUGUCUCAGAAAGAUGAUGAGGACCCAAAUGGAGAAGUCAUGGGAACAGAGAGGGCUGUUGAGCAGAAUGUGGGAACCAGCCAGAAGUGGGGGGUGAGAAGCUUCAUGGAGCAGAAUCAGACAAGGCUACUGGGCUUCUGAGUAGAUGGAGUUGUCUUUUCAUCCACUUCUCUCUUUUCAUCUUCUUCAUCCACCUCCCCAGCCAGGCUGACCCACUCCCAAGCUCUUCCAGUCUCCUGGCUCAGAACAAUUGCUCAACCCUACUUGGGCUUGUUCUUCCAUCCCAAUCUCUAAACCCCUGACUUCCAUCCUAGGCUCAGCACCUCUCUCCAUCUGGCAGGCAUUCUGGUUUCUCCGAGCUUUCCCUCUAAUCUCAUUCACAGUCUUUCCCUUCCCCCACCACUCCAGCCACAGAAUUUCUUAUUUAUCCCUUCAUAAUUCGCCACUUCCAUCCUUAGCUCUAUGCUGUCUCCCUUCUCCUCCUAGACCAGUCUAAAGCCUCCUAAAUAGUAGCACUUGAGCUCUUCUUAUCAUAGAGCAGGAAUAUGAUAGAGGCUGAAGGGUUAGAUAGGGCUGGCAGUGAGGGGUGAGAGAAGAAGUACCUCUUGACUGUAUUGGGUUGAUGCACCUUGUCUAAUAACACCCCAGGGGAGCCCAUCAGCACCCACUUACUGUGUGAGUCCUUACACCUGUGCUGUGCUCAGGAUGAACAACCUCACUGUACUGACAUCCAAGAAUGACAGCUGGAAUCUCUCCAUUGAGGGUCAUUGGCUCAGCCCAUUCCAGACAGGUAUCUUCCUUCUCCUUCCUCUCAGAGCAAGCAGUCUGCAGGAAGCAGCUCCUGAGAGCACCUGGGUGGCCAGGAGUUCAUCUGCUUAUCCCCUUCCCUGGUGGUCCUACAGCUCUCAGCCUUUACCUAGCCUGCCCACCAAAGCUGUCCACACACUUGGCUGCCACUGGAGGGUGGGUGUCUCAGAAACACUUGAAUCCUAUCUGUAUGGUGAUUACCUUUUUCCAGGGAGCCAGGAACUCUUCCUUGUUGUCAUCACUCUGUAGGCAUCUUCACUGCCGGCUAAUUAGCAGCCAUCUACUCUUGCUGCAGUGAAACUGGAGGACCAUGUUGUUAUGCAAGCUGGGUCACUUGUUUGCAGUUAACUUCCGGCUUCUGUUCAGCUGACUUAGGGUUGCAUCAUUCUCCUGGCAUUAUCAGAGCAUGCACAGUUGAGUUGAACAGCCUGAAGCCCCAUUAGAUGGCAAUGGCGAACCCUGCAGCCUUUCCGAUGUCACCAGAGGAAGCUGCAGGAGCAGAUGGAGAAGGGUAGCUUUAUGCACCACAAGAACCUCAUGACACAACUUCUCCGUGGGAAGAAUGGAUCCUCAGCCCAAAGAGGCAAUGCACCAAACACGCUGGCACUGCAGCCACCCUUUUCAAAGCCAAAUCAUCAUUGGAAAUGACUUCUUGUAAAGCCCUCUGCUGCCUCUCCGUUUGGUGAUGAGGCUAGGCGGUCUGUGCUCCCAGGAAGGCAAGUGGCCCUCUCCCUCUGGCUCUUUGGCAGGAGGCCCUGCUUGGAUCACGUGGCGUAUCUGGCAAAUCAAGUUCAAUUUCUUUGCAGUGGAGCUGCAGCAGGGCUUUCCAGUUAGUGAUUUUGUGGUGGCUUCUGUGAGUCAGAGUGCUCUGAUUCUCUGGCAGAGGGGGAGGGCCUAUGUUUGCAAGGAGCAUCAUCACUCUUGUUUUGAGAAUUCUGCAGCCACUUGGAGGACAUAGAAACAAACUAAACACCAAGCCACUGCCACUUUCACCAAACUCGUAGUGUAGUAUUUCUGCCCUUCUUUUGUGCUGACAUCUGCCUCUCCCUCUCUCUUUUUUUUUCUUCUGCUGUUAUUCUUUUUGUAUUUAUUUAUUUAUCUAUCUAUCUAUCUUUGCUUUUUAGGUCCUCACUCACAGCAUAUGGAAGUUCCUAGGCUAGAGGUCAAAUCAGAGCUGCAGCUGCCAGCCUACACCAUAGCCACAGCAAUGAGGGAUCCGAGCUGCAUCUGUGACCUACACCACAGCUCAUAGCAAUGACACAUCCUUAACCACUGAGCGAGGUCAGAGAUUGAACUCAUAUCCUCAUGGCUACUAGUUAGAUUUGUUACCGCUGAGCCACAAUAGGAACUCCUAUUAUUUUUUAUAAAAAUUUGAUUACAAAUACUCUCAUAUUUUCAAUCCCAUGCCUAUUAUGGAUUUCUGGAUUAAUAUUUUAUUAUUAAUAAUAAAAAACAUUUGUUUAUUUUAUA